rnacentral:rRNA from 1 species
UAAGGAAUAUUGGUCAAUGGACGCAAGUCUGAACCAGCCAUGCCGCGUGAAGGAUGAAGGUCCUCUGGAUUGUAAACUUCUUUUAUAUGGGACGAAACCCUCGAUUUCCAUCGGGAUUGACGGUACCAUAGGAAUAAGCACCGGCUAACUCCGUGCCAGCAGCCGCGGUAAUACGGAGGGUGCAAGCGUUAUCCGGAUUCACUGGGUUUAAAGGGUGCGUAGGAGGGCAGGUAAGUCAGUGGUGAAAUCCCCGAGCUUAACUUGGGAACUGCCGUUGAUACUAUCUGUCUUGAAUACCGUGGAGGUGAGCGGAAUAUGUCAUGUAGCGGUGAAAUGCUUAGAUAUGACAUAGAACACCAAUUGCGAAGGCAGCUCACUACGCGAAUAUUGACACUGAGGCACGAAAGCGUGGGGAUCAAAC